GACAUGUACUAGUCUGUGGCGACCUAAAUGCCAGAACUGGAAAAGAACCUGACACACUCAGCACACAGAGGGACAAACACCAACCUGGAGGUUCACCAGCUGACCUAUAUCAAGACACCCAUGUUGACUGGAUUCCCCCUGUGAAGAUGGGUAAUGCUGCAGCAGCAUCAGUUUCUACUACUUCUUCAUCUUUUUCCAGACAUGAAAGAAGACAUCCCUCAGUUAUAUGACAUGGUUGUCAUAUGCUGUGCUUUGGACAAUUAUUCUGUUGUCAAUUGAGUAGAGCACCUUGUCAUGACAAAAGUGCCCCCUUACACUGUAUGAAUAUAAUGUAAUUUGGAACGUUUAAAAGACUUGUUGAUAUUGUAAACAUACUGUACUUCAAGCUAUAUUGUUGUCUAAGUGAAAAGACAAGUAUUCUGUCAUCUUUGCUUUGCCUAGCCCCAUUGAAUAAAAAGUAUUUCUUAUGGCCCAACUAUUGCAAUGUUCCUUGCUUUUCAGAAACGUGGCUCUCAGACAAUAUGCCCCCCACGGCUAUCUAACUCGAUGGAUUCUUCAUUCACCGGGCAGACAGGAUAGUGGAGUCGGGGUGAGGCUGCCUUUCUGGUUGCGGUGAUUAUAAUUCGGCGUCACUAAAUCAAAAAGAUAUAUAAAUCACAUGCGCCGAAUACAACAGGUAUAGAUAGACCUUACAGUGAAAUGCUUACUUACAAGCCCUUAACCAACAAUGCAGUUAAGAAAAAUAAGUGUUAAAGUAUUUACUGAAAUAAACUGAAGAAAGUAAUGAAGGGAAAAAAAGGUGCAAAAAUAAAAUAACAGUAGCGAGGCUAAAUACAGGGGGUACAGGUUAUUCGAGGGAUUGAGGUCAUAUGUACAUGUAGGUAGAGGUACAGUGACUAUGUAUGGAUAAUAAACAGAGUAGUAGAAAAAGUUUGGCAUGAGCUCUCAAAUCCUGAAAAGGUUCUACAACUGUACCUUCGAGAGCAUAUCGACUGGCUGCAUCACUGCUUGGUAUAGCAAUAGCAUCGCCCUCGAUCGUAUGGCGCUACAGAGGGUUGUGCGCACAGCCCAGUACAUCACUGAGGCCAAGCUCCCUGCCAUCCUGGACCUCCAUAUCAGGUCAAAGAUCCCAACCAUCCAAGCCAUAGAUUUUCUCUGCUUGAACAGCUUUUAUCCCCAAGCAAUACGACUGAAAAAUAGCUAACAAACUUGCACGGACCAAGUUUACCUUGCAUCUUUAUUGACCUUCUAUUUCAGUAUUUUGCACUGUCUAUGCACACUCACAGGGCCCUACACACUGUCACUCCAAAGCAAACACUCACUCCAUUUUCUCACUCACACAUAAUAUGCACAUACAUUUAUACCAACUCUACACCCACAAGCUGCUGCUACUCUGUUUAUCUUAUAUCCAGUUGCCUAGUCACCUUACCCCACACAUAUCUACCUCCCAUCACCCCAGUAUCCCUGCACAUGUAAAUAUGGUAUUGGAACUGACUUUUUAAAUAUUUUCUGUAUAUAGUAUGUUUGUUUACUUUAUUGUGUAUUUCAUAUUUCUUGUGUGCUUUUUUUCUAGUAAUACAUUUGAUUAUUGCAUUGUUGGGUUUUGAGUUCGCAUUAAAGGCAUUUUACUGUGCAUGUGACAUUAACUUGAAACGUGUCAUUCUUUUACAAUUUAAACACAUUUAGCGUAGACAAUGUAGUUAUUGUGGUAGUCUUAAACCACCUCGAUUGCAAGGGUUGGAUAUGAACUAAACAAUCUUGUGUCAGCACAAGGCAUGUAGAAAAUCUAGUAUAAUGAUCAGCCUCAUACAUUGCCUACUGGUAUAGUUUUUAAAUUGAUAACAUAUAGCUGAACAAUACAAACAUUGUGUGGGUUAAGCUAUUAUCUAAUUCAGAUGCACAAUGUCGAGGGUACAGUUAUUCUAGCCCCGGACAAACAGACCUGAUUCAACUUGUCAACGAAUCAUCAGGCCCUCAAUGAGUUGAAUCAGGUGUGCUGUUGAGGGUACUCAAGGACUGGAGUUGGGAACCACUGCUGUAGGCCUAUGGCUGCAUUGGCAUUGCAUGCCAUUAUCAGCUGCAUAAUGGGUCAACUUUUUAAAAUUAUUUAACCUUUAUUUAACUAGGCAAGUCAGUUAAGAACAAAUUCUUAUUUACAAUGACGGCCUUGGGUUAACUGCCUUGUUCAGGGGCAGAACGACAGAGUUUUACCUUGUCAGCUCGGGGAUUCGAUCAAGCAACCUUUCGGUUACUGGCCCAGCGCUCUAACCGCUACCUGCCGCCCCCCACAUGGCUGAUCUCCUGAAAAAAUUGUGACAAUCAAAUAAAUCUAAUUGGAGAGCUUAUGACUGACAAAAUGGUAAUGAUCAUUUGAGAAACAAACACAAACAUUCCCUUCCC
rnacentral:lncRNA from 1 species